rnacentral:rRNA from 1 species
UGCUUAACACAUGCAAGUCGAACGGAAAGGCCCUGCUUUUGUGGGGUGCUCGAGUGGCGAACGGGUGAGUAACACGUGAGUAACCUGCCCUUGACUUUGGGAUAACUUCAGGAAACUGGGGCUAAUACCGGAUAGGAGCUCCUGCUGCAUGGUGGGGGUUGGAAAGUUUCGGCGGUUGGGGAUGGACUCGCGGCUUAUCAGCUUGUUGGUGGGGUAGUGGCUUACCAAGGCUUUGACGGGUAGCCGGCCUGAGAGGGUGACCGGCCACAUUGGGACUGAGAUACGGCCCAGACUCCUACGGGAGGCAGCAGUGGGGAAUAUUGCACAAUGGGCGGAAGCCUGAUGCAGCAACGCCGCGUGCGGGAUGACGGCCUUCGGGUUGUAAACCGCUUUCGCCUGUGACGAAGCGUGAGUGACGGUAAUGGGUAAAGAAGCACCGGCUAACUACGUGCCAGCAGCCGCGGUGAUACGUAGGGUGCGAGCGUUGUCCGGAUUUAUUGGGCGUAAAGGGCUCGUAGGUGGUUGAUCGCGUCGGAAGUGUAAUCUUGGGGCUUAACCCUGAGCGUGCUUUCGAUACGGGUUGACUUGAGGAAGGUAGGGGAGAAUGGAAUUCCUGGUGGAGCGGUGGAAUGCGCAGAUAUCAGGAGGAACACCAGUGGCGAAGGCGGUUCUCUGGGCCUUUCCUGACGCUGAGGAGCGAAAGCGUGGGGAGCGAACAGGCUUAGAUACCCUGGUAGUCCACGCUGUAAACGGUGGGUACUAGGUGUGGGGUCCAUUCCACGGGUUCCGUGCCGUAGCUAACGCUUUAAGUACCCCGCCUGGGGAGUACGGCCGCAAGGCUAAAACUCAAAGGAAUUGACGGGGCCCCGCACAAGCGGCGGAGCAUGCGGAUUAAUUCGAUGCAACGCGUAGAACCUUACCUGGGUUUGACAUGGAUCGGGAGUGCUCAGAGAUGGGUGUGCCUCUUUUGGGGUCGGUUCACAGGUGGUGCAUGGCUGUCGUCAGCUCGUGUCGUGAGAUGUUGGGUUAAGUCCCGCAACGAGCGCAACCCUUGUUCACUGUUGCCAGCACGUUAUGGUGGGGACUCAGUGGAGACCGCCGGGGUCAACUCGGAGGAAGGUGGGGAUGACAUCAAGUCAUCAUGCCCCUUAUGUCCAGGGCUUCACGCAUGCUACAAUGGCUGGUACAGAGAGUGGCGAGCCUGUGAGGGUGAGCGAAUCUCGGAAAGCCGGUCUCAGUUCGGAUUGGGGUCUGCAACUCGACCUCAUGAAGUCGGAGUCGCUAGUAAUCGCAGAUCAGCAACGCUGCGGUGAAUACGUUCCCGGGGCUUGUACACACCGCCCGUCAAGUCAUGAAAGUUGGUAACACCCGAAGCCGGUGGCCUAACCGUUGUGGGGGAGCCGUCGAAGGUGGGACUGGUGAUUAGGACUAAAUC